CCACCCCUCAAGGGGCAACAAGCCACAGACCAUCUUCCUUCCAUCUCUUUAGGAAGCUGAGAAAGAACCCGCUUCCAACAGUGCUCUUUCUGUGUCCUGGCAACAUCUCAUACAAUGUCAGCUGAUAUGCCAUUUCUUUUCAGCGCUUGACUCGCCGAUUUGGAACUUCUGCUUCUGCCAGAUUUCCACCUUGGCAACCUGGCUCAGACGAAAUGCCUAAAUCUUCCCCUUCAGCAAUGGGAACGAGGCCCAGAUCAUUGUGUUUCCACAUGCUUAGCAGGAGCAGACAAUAGGCUUUUUACAAACCGCCAUUGUGCACUGGUGCAGAGAGUGUCAGAAUGCACCUAUGUCAGAAAGGGCCCUUUGCUCUCAGCCGUGCCCUCCAUUGCUCUACAGGUGGAAGGCACAAAGCACUGCCUCCAUCCUUCAAUGGGAGACAAGCCAUAAACUGUCUUGCUUCCAGCUCUUUAGGAAGCUGAGAAAGAACUCGCUUUCCACAGUGCUGUUACAGCAUACGAGGAAACUCUCAUACAAAUGCAGCUCAAAUGCCAUUUCUUCCCAGCGCUUAACUCGCCACUUUAGGACUUCUGCUUCUGCCGCAAUUCCACCUUGCCAACCCGGCUCAGACGAAAUGCCUACAUCUUCCCCUUAAGCAACUGGGAUGAGUCCCAAAUGAUUGUGUGACGAUGUGCUUAGCAGGAGAUGGACAAUACGCUUUUCACCAACCACAGUUGAGCACUGGUGGAGAGAGUGUCAGAAAGCACCUAUGUCAGAAAGGCCCCUUUCCUCUCAGCCUUGCCCUCCAUUGCUCUAGUUGUGGAAUGCACAAUGCAUUGUCUCCACCCCUCAAGGGGAGACAAGCCACAGACCAUCUUUCUUCCAUCUCUUUAGGAGGCUGAGAACAAACUCACCUGACGUAUAGAAAGGAAUCAUGCCCCUUAGAUGCCAGAAAACCCUUUGGAGACAUGCCAAAAACACCCUCCGCACACUCGCAAAGAACCACACAUUCAUGCCCGAACGACCCAACAGGCACACCAAAAGCACUGAUGUUGCAUGCCAGAAUCACCUGUAACCACCUGCAGGACACAGUGGAACAAUGAUUCUGACAAUGCAGAACCAUCUCUUCAACAUGCCAGCUGCACACAACAGACACGACGGAACCAGAUUCCAAACGUAGUACAACCACAUGCCAGAGACAUUGGAAACACCUGUUGGAUAUGCCGCAAACAGGUGCCAGAAACACUGAAACCACCUGCGGUGUAUGUCAGAACUGGGGGCCAGAAGUGCCACAAACACCUGUCUUACAUGUCAGAGCCACGAGCCCAAAAAGCAGGAAAGACCUGACAGACAAACCAAAAUAAACUGCCGGUGAUGCCAGAACCACUCGGAGGACAGCCAGGAAUCACCUGCCGGGCAUGCCUGAACCACCUCGCAGACGUGCCAGAACCACGUGCCGGACAUGCUGGAACCACCUCUCGGACAGACCAGAACCACCUGCUGGACACACCGAAAUCACCUGCCAGCUACACCAGAACAACUUGGCGGACACCUUAGAAUCACCUGCGGGCAUGCAGGAACCACCUCUCAGACGGGCCACAACCACAUGCCUGACACGCCGGAACCAACUCCCAAAGAGACCGGAAGCACAUGCCGAACAUGCCGGAACCACCUGCAUGACUCGCUGGAACCACAUGCCAGGCACGCCGUAAUCACCUGCCGGCUAUGCCAGAACCACUUAUCGGACACUCCAGAACCACCUGCUGGGCAUGCUGCAACCACCUCUCAGACACGCCAUAACCACAUGCCUGACACGCUGGAACCACCUACCAGACAGACCGGAACCACAUGUCAAAAAUGCUGGAACCACCUGCUCGACCCUCCAGAACCACCUCCCAGGCAGACCGGAACCACCUGCCAGAAAUGCCUCAACCACCUGCUGAGCACGCCGGAACCACCUGCUCGACUCGCUGGAACCACCAGCCUCUCAUGCCAAAAUCACCUGCUGGCUACACCAGAACGACUUGCCAGACACCGUGGAAUCACCCGCCGGGCAUGCCGGAACCACCUCUCAGACGUGCUAGAAGCACAUGCCGGAGACGCCUGAAGCACCUGCCGUGCACGUUGGAACCACCUCCUGGACAGACAGAAACCACCUGCUAGACACGCUGGAACCACCUGCCAAGCACGGAGGAACCACCUGAUUGACUCGCAG
ensembl:lncRNA